rnacentral:rRNA from 1 species
GACGAACGCUGGCGGCGUGCUUAACACAUGCAAGUCGAACGGUGAUCCCAUUUCGGUGGGUGAUCAGUGGCGAACGGGUGAGUAACACGUGAGCAACCUGCCUCUGGCUCUGGGAUAACUCCGGGAAACCGGGGCUAAUACCAGAUAUGACCUGCCCCUGCAUGGGGGUGGGUGGAAAGUUUUUCGGCCAGAGAUGGGCUCGCGGCCUAUCAGCUUGUUGGUGGGGUGAUGGCCUACCAAGGCGACGACGGGUAGCCGGCCUGAGAGGGCGACCGGCCACACUGGGACUGAGACACGGCCCAGACUCCUACGGGAGGCAGCAGUGGGGAAUAUUGCACAAUGGGCGCAAGCCUGAUGCAGCAACGCCGCGUGAGGGACGACGGCCUUCGGGUUGUAAACCUCUUUUAGCAGGGAAGAAGCGAAAGUGACGGUACCUGCAGAAAAAGCACCGGCUAACUACGUGCCAGUCGCCGCCGUAAAAC